UGAACGUCGAUGAUGAAGAGAGUAGUUGUUUGUGGAGGCAAAGCGAGCCGGGGAGAGUGGGAGCCUGGUGCGAAGCAAAUGAUGAACCGCACUUUUGAGAUGCUUUCCUGAAGUCAGUAGGGAGGGCCGGGGAGAGACCCCGUUACCAAUGUCGAGUGGUUUUUGCUGAUGAGCAAAAACAAGCAGAGUGGUACCGCGGGAAUACAAUCGAGCUCCCGUCUCUUUU
rnacentral:ncRNA from 1 species